rnacentral:ncRNA from 1 species
CCUCUGCCUUCCCCGCACAGGAGGGCAGACGCGAGGCCCCGGUGCUCUCUGCCCUGACGGCGCCCGGGUCCGCGAUCGCUCCGGGCUGCGGUGCCGGGAGGGUUGAGGGUCCCUCUCAGGCGC